rfam:Paenibacillus alvei DSM 29 PAV_1c, whole genome shotgun sequence.
AGGUGAUGUCUCCUAUACCUCUAUCAUCGGAGAUACUCGGCCAUGCUGUGGGCUAGGCAGCCUUAGACGUUCAUCGUCAAGGGUGUGGCGUGAGGAAGGGUUAGAUGCCCU